rnacentral:rRNA from 1 species
AUUGAACGCUGGCAGAAUGCUUUACACAUGCAAGUCGAACGGUAGAGGGGCAACCCCUCGAGAGUGGCGAACGGGUGAGUAAUAUAUCGGAACGUGCCCAGUCGUGGGGGAUAACGUAGCGAAAGUUACGCUAAUACCGCAUACGAUCUAAGGAUGAAAGCGGGGGAUCGCAAGACCUCGCGCGAUUGGAGCGGCCGAUAUCAGAUUAGGUAGUUGGUGGGGUAAAGGCUCACCAAGCCAACGAUCUGUAGCUGGUCUGAGAGGACGACCAGCCACAAUGGAACUGAGACACGGUCCAGACUCCUACGGGAGGCAGCAGUGGGGAAUUUUGGACAAUGGACGCAAGUCUGAUCCAGCCAUUCCGCGUGCAGGAUGAAGGCCCUCGGGUUGUAAACUGCUUUUGUACGGAACGAAAAGGUCUCUCUUAAUACGGGGGACUCAUGACGGUACCGUAAGAAUAAGCACCGGCUAACUACGUGCCAGCCGCCGCCGUAAGAC